rnacentral:tRNA from 1 species
GGGCCGCUAGCUCAGUGGUAGAGCACGUGACUUUUAAUCACGGUGUCCCGGGUUCGAUCCCCGGGCGGCCCACCA